GACGAACGCUGGCGGCGUGCUUAACACAUGCAAGUCGUACGGUAAGGCCCUUUCGGGGGUACACGAGUGGCGAACGGGUGAGUAACACGUGAGUAACCUGCCCACAACUUUGGGAUAACGCUAGGAAACUGGUGCUAAUACUGGAUAUGUGCCCCUGCUGCAUGGUGGGGGUUGGAAAGCUCCGGCGGUUGUGGAUGGACUCGCGGCCUAUCAGCUUGUUGGUGGGGUAGUGGCCUACCAAGGCGGCGACGGGUAGCCGGCCUGAGAGGGUGACCGGCCACAUUGGGACUGAGAUACGGCCCAGACUCCUACGGGAGGCAGCAGUGGGGAAUAUUGCACAAUGGGCGCAAGCCUGAUGCAGCAACGCCGCGUGCGGGAUGACGGCCUUCGGGUUGUAAACCGCUUUCAGCAGGGACGAAGCUUUUUGUGACGGUACCUGCAGAAGAAGCACCGGCUAACUACGUG
rnacentral:rRNA from 1 species